rnacentral:lncRNA from 1 species
AUAUCCUAUCAUCAGUCAUUUACUAGCCUGUGGUCUGUUUUCAUGUGACAGGAGCAGAAAUUAGCAUGAUGGAAACGACACACCUGAAUUAUUUACUAUCUCAACAUUUACAAAAACAAGAACCUGUUGACCCCUGAUCAAGAAAUUGUGAGUUACAGAAUUGACAAGUGUAAGAGUUGGCCAAAGCUAUUACAUGUUCAGAUUAUUUGAUCCAGUGACUUCUGAAACCAGGAAGAUAUGUGUGCUCAUCUCCAAUGACUUGUUUUGCUUACAGGAAAUCACAUAGGGUCAAGGCUAUUGCUGAUUAGUUGAUUAGGUUAUUGAUCUGAAAGAACAUAAAUAUUAGAACAGCUUCUAUUGGUGAAAUAAAAUUUCAAGAGAAUGGGGUAUGAAACAGAGAGUCAUCUCCUGUAUGCUUUCUGUAAAGUAGAGAUCAUAAAAAUAGCAACUGUAUAAGGUUAUGAGUAGUAAAUAGAAUAACUUAUUUAAAUGUGUUGAGUAUAUUGUUUUUAGUUACGAUAUAAUACAGGUAAUU